rnacentral:tRNA from 1 species
GCCUGGGUGGCUCAGUCGGUUGAGCGUCCGACUUCGGCUCAGGUCAUGAUCUCACAGUCUGUGAGUUCGAGCCCCACAUCGGGCU